rnacentral:rRNA from 1 species
ACGGAGGAUGCGAGCGUUAUCCGGAUUUAUUGGGUUUAAAGGGAGCGCAGACGGGUCGUUAAGUCAGCUGUGAAAGUUUGGGGCUCAACCUUAAAAUUGCAGUUGAUACUGGCGUCCUUGAGUGCGGUUGAGGUGUGCGGAAUUCGUGGUGUAGCGGUGAAAUGCUUAGAUAUCACGAAGAACUCCGAUUGCGAAGGCAGCACACUAAUCCGUAACUGACGUUCAUGCUCGAAAGUGUGGGUAUCAAACAG